rnacentral:rRNA from 1 species
AUUCCAGCUCCAAUAGCGUAUAUUAAAGUUGUUGCGGUUAAAAAGCUCGUAGUUGGAUUUCUGUCAAAGGUAAGGCGGUCCAUCUUAUGGAUGUGCAUCUGCCUAUGCCUUGGCAUCCUCAUGAAGAACGUUUUCGCGCUUCACUGCGUGUUUACGGUAUUCAUGACUUUUACUUUGAGGAAAUUAGAGUGUUCACGGCAGGCAAUCGCUUUGGAUACAUUAGCAUGGAAUAAUACUAUAGGACCUCGGUUCUAUUUUGUUGGUUUCUAGAGCUGAGGUAAUGAUUAAUAGGGAUAAUUGGGGGUCUUUGUAUUGCAACGUCAGAGGUGAAAUUCUUGGAUUGUUGCACGACAAACUACUGCGAAAGCAUUGACCAAGGAUGUUUUCAUUG